UGCCUUAGGAAGAAGAUCCUUUUAUUGAUUUUAUUCAAAACCAGAUCGGGCCUCAGUUGUCAGAGGUAGCCACUGGUGGGGUGUCUAAUACAGGAGCAGAAUUGUUCCUGGAGAAGAAUGAUGACAGUAGAUCUGAAGGUGGCUGACUUCUUGAACCCUCAGAUCAGAGCUCUUUGGGAGACCAAGGGACCUGUGGCAGAGAACGCCAGUCAGCAUAAGAAACAUGCCCCACAGAUGGACAGUCUCAGUCCUGAGAGGUCUCACCAGCACUUCCGGAACUUCCUCUAUCAUGAAGCAGCUGGACCCCGGGAGGUAGUUGACCAGCUUCAAGAAUUAUGUCGUCGGUGGCUGAGGCCAGAUAUUCAUUCAAAAGAGCAGAUCUUGGAACUUGUGGUGCUAGAGCAGUUCCUGACCAUUCUGCCCGGGGACACCCAGACUCUCAUAAAGAAGCACCAUCCACAGAGCAUCGAGGAGGCUGUGGUCCUCGUAGAACACUUGCAAAGGGAAACUGGCCAAACAAGGAAUGGGGUUGCAGUCCAGGAGCUGGGAAAGGAGGCAGUGCUCUUGGGAGAAGCAGCAGAGGCCCCAGGCUUUCAGCUGAAGCCAGCAGAGUCCCAGCCAGUGGGCAUGUCCCUGGAGGAAGAAGUUUGGAAUAUACAGCAGGGUCUACAAGAGCCACUGAGCAGGAAUACCCACAAAGAACCUGAGCCCGUAUGUGAGAGGGUGGUACCUACUUACCAGAUCCUAGCCCUUCCUGAGGAAACAAACACCAAAGACUGGACAGUGGCACCUGAGUUCAUCUUGCCUGAGUCCCAGGGUUUGUUGACAUUUGAGGAAGUGGCCAUAUACUUUUCCCAGGAAGAAUGGGAACUACUGAAUCCCACUCAAAAGGCCCUCUACAAUGACGUAAUGCACGAGAACUAUGAGACUGUCAUCUCUCUAGCAGUAUUUGUGCUCCCCAAACCUAAAGUGAUCUCCUAUUUAGAGCAAGGGAAAGACCCAUAUAUUCAAGGAUCUCCAGUGUUCAAAGACAAUCCUGAAGAGCUGCUUUCAGAGAUAAAGCUGAAAAAUGACAUGGAAAAUCAUCAACUCAUGUGUCUUUCUGACUUAGAAAUACAAGCACCAGGAGACAUAGUAUCAAAAAAAGCCAGUGUGAAUGUUCAUCAGAAAACAACGGGCAAAGAAACUCAUGGUGAUGUGCAUAGGCUGGGGAAAUGGCACCAAGAUUUUCCAGGGAAGGAAAGAAAUAAACUUUCCAACUGGUGGGAGGAAGAGCUGCUGAAACUUAUGGAGCUUCAUAAGAAAGAACGUGCAACAGAGAAGCCUUUUAAAUGUCAGGAAUGUGGGAAAAGCUUCAGAGUUAGUUCUGACCUUAUUAAGCACCAAAGAAUUCACACUGAGGAGAAACCAUAUAAAUGUCAACAGUGUGAUAAGAGGUUUAGAUGGAGGUCAGAUCUUAAUAAGCACUUAACCACACACCAAGGAGUAAAACCAUAUAAAUGCUCCUGGUGUGGGAAAAGCUUCAGUCAAAAUUCACAUCUCCACACACAUCAAAGAACUCACACAGGAGAGAAGCCCUUUACAUGUCAUGAAUGUGGAAAAAAAUUCAGUCAAAAUUCCCACCUUAUUAAACACCGGAGAACCCAUCUAUAA
rnacentral:lncRNA from 1 species